rnacentral:rRNA from 1 species
UACGGGAGGCAGCAGUGGGGAAUAUUGCACAAUGGGCGAAAGCCUGAUGCAGCAACGCCGCGUGAGGGAAGACGGUUUUCGGAUUGUAAACCUUUGUCCUUGGUGAAGAGAAAGAGACGGUAGCAUAGGAGGAAGCCCCGGCUAACUACGUGCCAGCAGCCGCGGUAAU